rnacentral:rRNA from 1 species
GGAUCCAGACUUUGAUCAUGGCUCAGGACGAACGCUGGCGGCGUGCCUAACACAUGCAAGUCGAACGGAGUUGAAAGGAGCUUGCUUUUUUCAACUUAGUGGCGGACGGGUGAGUAACGCGUGAGUAACCUGCCUUUCAGAGGGGGAUAACGUUCUGAAAAGAACGCUAAUACCGCAUAAGGUUGUAGUUUCGCAUGGAGCAGCAAUCAAAGGAGCAAUCCGCUGAAAGAUGGACUCGCGUCCGAUUAGAUAGUUGGCGGGGUAACGGCCCACCAAGUCGACGAUCGGUAGCCGGACUGAGAGGUUGAUCGGCCACAUUGGGACUGAGACACGGCCCAGACUCCUACGGGAGGCAGCAGUGAGGGAUAUUGGGCAAUGGGGGAAACCCUGACCCAGCAACGCCGCGUGAGGGAUGACGGUUUUCGGAUUGUAAACCUCUGUCCUCUGUGAAGAUAGUGACGGUAGCAGAGGAGGAAGCUCCGGCUAACUACGUGCCAGCAGCCGCGGUAAUACGUAGGGAGCAAGCGUUGUCCGGAUUUACUGGGUGUAAAGGGUGCGUAGGCGGAUUGGCAAGUCAGAAGUGAAAUCCAUGGGCUUAACCCAUGAACUGCUUUUGAAACUGUUAGUCUUGAGUGAAGUAGAGGUAGGCGGAAUUCCCGGUGUAGCGGUGAAAUGCGUAGAGAUCGGGAGGAACACCAGUGGCGAAGGCGGCCUACUGGGCUUUAACUGACGCUGAGGCACGAAAGUGUGGGUAGCAAACAGGAUUAGAUACCCUGGUAGUCCACACUGUAAACGAUGAUUACUAGGUGUGGGGGGUCUAACCCCCUCCGUGCCGGAGUUAACACAAUAAGUGAUCCACCUGGGGAGUACGACCGCAAGGUUGCAACUCAAGGGAAUUGACGG